UCCUGGGGCUGGAGCAGGUCCCAAGGGUUCGGCUGUUCGCCGAUUAAAGUGGUACGUGAGCUGGGUUUAGAACGUCGUGAGACAGUUCGGUCCCUAUCUACCGUGGGUGUUGGAGACUUGUGAGGCGCUGUCCCUAGUACGAGAGGACCGGGAUGGACGCUCCUCUGGUGGACCGGUUGUCGCGCCAGCGGCAUAGCCGGGUAGCUAAGAGCGGACGGGAUAACCGCUGAACGCAUAUAAGCGGGAAGCCCUCCUCGAAACAAGGUCUCCCUUGAGAGCCGUGGAAGACGACCACGUUGAUAGGCCGGGUGUGGAAGCGCAGUAAUGUGUGAAGCUAACCGGUCCUAAUCACUCGAAAGACUUGAGACGC
rnacentral:rRNA from 1 species